rfam:Comamonadaceae bacterium A1 DNA, complete genome.
GGUCAAGUGAAUAAGAGCAUGUGGUGGAUGCCUUGGCGAUGAUAGGCGACGAAGGACGUGAUAGCCUGCGAUAAGCUUCGGGGAGCUGGCAAAUUAGCUUUGAUCCGGAGAUUUCCGAAUGGGGGAACCCACCCGCAAGGGUAUCGCUGUCUGAAUACAUAGGACAGCGAAGCGAACCGAGUGAACUGAAACAUCUAAGUAGCUCGAGGAAAAGACAUCAACCGAGAUUCCGAGAGUAGUGGCGAGCGAAAUCGGAGAAGCCUGCUAGUGAUAGCACGACACUUAACAGAACAGUCUGGAAAGGCUGGCCAUAGUGGGUGAAAGCCCCGUAUGUGAAAAGAGACGUGUGGUACUAAGCUAGCGACAAGUAGGGCGGGGCACGAGAAACCCUGUCUGAAUAUGGGGGGACCAUCCUCCAAGGCUAAAUACUCAUCAUCGACCGAUAGUGAACAAGUACCGUGAGGGAAAGGCGAAAAGAACCCCGGGAGGGGAGUGAAAUAGAUCCUGAAACCACAUGCUUACAAAAAGUAGGAGCCCUGAAAGGGGUGACUGCGUACCUUUUGUAUAAUGGGUCAGCGACUUACAUUCAGUGGCAAGCUUAACCGAAUAGGGAAGGCGUAGGGAAACCGAGUCCGAAUAGGGCGUAACUGGAAGGCGACUUUCAGUGUUAGUCGCUGGGUGUAGACCCGAAACCAAGUGAUCUAUCCAUGGCCAGGAUGAAGGUGCCGUAACAGGUACUGGAGGUCCGAACCCACUGGUGUUGCAAAACCAGGGGAUGAGCUGUGGAUAGGGGUGAAAGGCUAAACAAACUUGGAAAUAGCUGGUUCUCUCCGAAAACUAUUUAGGUAGUGCCUCAAGUAUUACCGUCGGGGGUAGAGCACUGUUUAGGCUAGGGGGUCAUGGCGACUUACCAAACCUAUGCAAACUCCGAAUACCGACGAGUACAGCUUGGGAGACAGAGCACCGGGUGCUAACGUCCGGACUCAAGAGGGAAACAACCCAGACCGCCAGCUAAGGUCCCUAAAAUUGGCUAAGUGGGAAACGAAGUGGGAAGGCUAUAACAGUCAGGAUGUUGGCUUAGAAGCAGCCAUCAUUUAAAGAAAGCGUAAUAGCUCACUGAUCGAGUCGUCCUGCGCGGAAGAUGUAACGGGGCUCAAGCCAGUUACCGAAGCUGCGGAUGCACAGUUUACUGUGCGUGGUAGGAGAGCGUUCUGUAAGCCGUUGAAGGUGGGUUGUGAAGCCUGCUGGAGGUAUCAGAAGUGCGAAUGCUGACAUGAGUAGCGUUAAAGCGGGUGAAAAGCCCGCUCGCCGUAAGCGCAAGGUUUCCUACGCAACGUUCAUCGGCGUAGGGUGAGUCGGCCCCUAAGGCGAGGCAGAGAUGCGUAGCUGAUGGGAAACAGGUCAAUAUUCCUGUACCGACUGCAAGUGCGAUGUGGGGACGGAUCUUAAUAGGUUAUCCGGGUGUUGGAAGUCCCGGUUUAGACAGAUGUAGGCGAUACGUAGGCAAAUCCGCGUGUCAUAUACCGAGGCUGUCGAUCGAGCGAACUUGUUCGUGAAGUAACCAAACGGGGUCCCAGGAAAAGCCACUAAGCUUCAGCUUGCAGUUGACCGUACCGCAAACCGACACUGGUGCGCGAGAUGAGUAUUCUCAGGCGCUUGAGAGAACUCGGGAGAAGGAACUCGGCAAAUUGACACCGUAACUUCGGAAGAAGGUGUGCCCUUGUAGUGUGUAGAGAACAUCGAAGCACGAAGGGGUUGCAAAAAAUUGGUGGCUGCGACUGUUUACUAAAAACACAGCACUCUGCAAACACGAAAGUGGACGUAUAGGGUGUGACGCCUGCCCGGUGCCGGAAGAUUAAUUGAUGGGGUGCAAGCUCUUGAUCGAAGUCCCGGUAAACGGCGGCCGUAACUAUAACGGUCCUAAGGUAGCGAAAUUCCUUGUCGGGUAAGUUCCGACCUGCACGAAUGGCGUAACGAUGGCCACGCUGUCUCCUCCCGAGACUCAGCGAAGUUGAAAUGUUUGUGAUGAUGCAAUCUCCCCGCGGAAAGACGGAAAGACCCCAUGAACCUUUACUGUAGCUUUGUAUUGGAUUUUGAACGGAUCUGUGUAGGAUAGGUGGGAGGCUUUGAAGGGCGGAUGCUAGUUCGCCUGGAGCCAACGUUGAAAUACCACCCUGGUGCGUUUGAGGUUCUAACCUUGGUCCCUGAAUCGGGACUGGGGACAGUGCAUGGUAGGCAGUUUGACUGGGGCGGUCUCCUCCCAAAGCGUAACGGAGGAGUUCGAAGGUACGCUAGGCACGGUCGGACAUCGUGCUAAUAGUGCAAUGGCAUAAGCGUGCUUAACUGCGAGACUGACAAGUCGAGCAGAUGCGAAAGCAGGACAUAGUGAUCCGGUGGUUCUGUAUGGAAGGGCCAUCGCUCAACGGAUAAAAGGUACUCUGGGGAUAACAGGCUGAUACCGCCCAAGAGUUCAUAUCGACGGCGGUGUUUGGCACCUCGAUGUCGGCUCAUCUCAUCCUGGGGCUGUAGCCGGUCCCAAGGGUAUGGCUGUUCGCCAUUUAAAGAGGUACGUGAGCUGGGUUUAAAACGUCGUGAGACAGUUUGGUCCCUAUCUUCCGUGGGCGCUGCAGAUUUGAGGAAGCCUGCUCCUAGUACGAGAGGACCGGAGUGGACGCACCUCUGGUGUACCGGUUGUCACGCCAGUGGCAUCGCCGGGUAGCUAUGUGCGGAAGAGAUAACCGCUGAAAGCAUCUAAGCGGGAAACUCGUUCCAAGAUGAGAUCUGCCGGGGCCUUGAGCCCCCUGAAGGGUCGUCGAAGACUACGACGUUGAUAGGCAGGGUGUGUAAGCGCAGCAAUGCGUUGAGCUAACCUGUACUAAUUGCCCGUGCGGCUUGACCCU